CCUACGGGGGGCAGCAGUAGGGAAUUUUGCGCAAUGGGGGAAACCCUGACGCAGCAACGCCGCGUGAUCGAUGAAGCCCUUCGGGGUGUAAAGAUCUGUCAGCGGGGACGAAACCUGACGGUACCCACAGAGGAAGCACCGGCUAACUCCGUGCCAGCAGCCCCGGUAAUACGGGGGGUGCAAGCGUUGUCCGGAAUCAUUGGGCGUAAAGAGUUCGUAGGUGGCACGUUAAGUCUGAUGUUAAAGGCGGAGGCUCAACUUCCGUAGGGCACUGGAUACUGGCGAGCUUGAGUGCGGUAGAGGUAAGGGGAAUUCCUGGUGUAGCGGUGAAAUGCGUAGAUAUCAGGAGGAACAUCGGUGGCGUAAGCGCUUUACUGGACCGUAAUUGACGCUGAGGAGCGAAAGCCGGGGUAGCAAAUGGGAUUAGAUACCCGAGUAGUC
rnacentral:rRNA from 1 species